rnacentral:rRNA from 1 species
AAGCAACGCGCAGAACCUUACCAACCCUUGACAUCUGGAUCGCGGUUACCGGAGACGGUUUCCUUCAGUUCGGCUGGAUCCAAGACAGGUGUUGCAUGGCUGUCGUCAGCUCGUGUCGUGAGAUGUUGGGUUAAGUCCCGCAACGAGCGCAACCCUCGCCUUUAGUUGCCAUCAUUAAGUUGGGCACUCUAGAGGGACUGCCGGUGAUAAGCCGGAGGAAGGUGGGGAUGACGUCAAGUCCUCAUGGCCCUUACGGGUUGGGCUACACACGUGCUACAAUGGCGGCGACAAUGGGCAGCGAAGGGGCGACCCGGUGCAAAUCCCAAAAAGCCGUCUCAGUUCGGAUUGUACUCUGCAACUCGAGUGCAUGAAGGUGGAAUCGCUAGUAAUCGCGUAACAGCAUGACGCGGUGAAUACGUUCCCGGGCCUUGUACACACCGCCCGUCACACCAUGGGAGUUGGUUUUACCCGAAGCCGGUGCGCUAACCGCAAGGAGGCAGCCGACCACGGUAAGGUCAGCGACUGGGGUGAAGUCGUAACAAGGUAGCCCUAGGGGAACC